rnacentral:rRNA from 1 species
AACAGUGGCGGCAGCUAACACAUGCAAGUCGAGCGGUAACACAGAGAGCUUGCUCUCGGGUGACGAGCGGCGGACGGGUGAGUAAUGUCUGGGAAACUGCCUGAUGGAGGGGGAUAACUACUGGAAACGGUAGCUAAUACCGCAUAACGUCGCAAGACCAAAGUGGGGGACCUUCGGGCCUCAUGCCAUCAGAUGUGCCCAGAUGGGAUUAGCUAGUAGGUGGGGUAAUGGCUCACCUAGGCGACGAUCCCUAGCUGGUCUGAGAGGAUGACCAGCCACACUGGAACUGAGACACGGUCCAGACUCCUACGGGAGGCAGCAGUGGGGAAUAUUGCACAAUGGGCGCAAGCCUGAUGCAGCCAUGCCGCGUGUAUGAAGAAGGCCUUCGGGUUGUAAAGUACUUUCAGCGAGGAGGAAGGCGUUAAGGUUAAUAACCUUGGUGAUUGACGUUACUCGCAGAAGAAGCACCGGCUAACUCCGUGCCAGCAGCCGCGGUAAUACGGAGGGUGCAAGCGUUAAUCGGAAUUACUGGGCGUAAAGCGCACGCAGGCGGUCUGUCAAGUCGGAUGUGAAAUCCCCGGGCUCAACCUGGGAACUGCAUUCGAAACUGGCAGGCUAGAGUCUUGUAGAGGGGGGUAGAAUUCCAGGUGUAGCGGUGAAAUGCGUAGAGAUCUGGAGGAAUACCGGUGGCGAAGGCGGCCCCCUGGACAAAGACUGACGCUCAGGUGCGAAAGCGUGGGGAGCAAACAGGAUUAGAUACCCUGGUAGUCCACGCCGUAAACGAUGUCGACUUGGAGGUUGUGCCCUUGAGGCGUGGCUUCCGGAGCUAACGCGUUAAGUCGACCGCCUGGGGAGUACGGCCGCAAGGUUAAAACUCAAAUGAAUUGACGGGGGCCCGCACAAGCGGUGGAGCAUGUGGUUUAAUUCGAUGCAACGCGAAGAACCUUACCUACUCUUGACAUCCAGAGAACUUAGCAGAGAUGCUUUGGUGCCUUCGGGAACUCUGAGACAGGUGCUGCAUGGCUGUCGUCAGCUCGUGUUGUGAAAUGUUGGGUUAAGUCCCGCAACGAGCGCAACCCUUAUCCUUUGUUGCCAGCGGUCCGGCCGGGAACUCAAAGGAGACUGCCAGUGAUAAACUGGAGGAAGGUGGGGAUGACGUCAAGUCAUCAUGGCCCUUACGAGUAGGGCUACACACGUGCUACAAUGGCAUAUACAAAGAGAAGCGACCUCGCGAGAGCAAGCGGACCUCAUAAAGUAUGUCGUAGUCCGGAUUGGAGUCUGCAACUCGACUCCAUGAAGUCGGAAUCGCUAGUAAUCGUAGAUCAGAAUGCUACGGUGAAUACGUUCCCGGGCCUUGUACACACCGCCCGUCACACCAUGGGAGUGGGUUGCAAAAGAAGUAGGUAGCUUAACCUUCGGGAGGGCGCUACCACUUGGAUUCAAG